rnacentral:misc_RNA from 1 species
UAAUUAUAAGAAUCUCAAAACAGAAAAGUAAUUUUUUUAAAUUACUUUUUUCAUAAUAUUUAAAAUAGUAUUUUUUAUUUAAAGUGAUUUUAGAUCAACUUUUUAACCACAAUCCCAAAUAGAGUCAAGCAUAAUCUCAGCCAUUUCUCUCCGCCUACGGUGGCCACUGUACAUGUGGCUACUGUUCAGUUCUAGUUGCAAGACGAAGUGGACUGGAGUUAGGGUUGAAUGGUCCUCAAUUUCGAUCACGGUUUUCUUUCCCAAUUUAUUCUGAUUUUGAUCAAAUUCGCUGAUAAUUUUUUUUAAUAAAAAGAAAAUUUUAAUUGUGGUUCAAAAGUGAACUUAUUAAUUACAGUGCAAUUACAAUUUGAUUUCAAUUCAAUUCAAAUUUAAUUUAAGUUAAUAUAAUUGUAAUCAUUUUUAAUCUAAUUUUAAUUUUAAAUUAGAUUAAUCCAAUUUUGAUUCAGUCUCAAUUCAGAGCUGAACCUCCACCACCCACUUGAAAAUAAGUUUUUUUGUUUGUUAAAAGGGGAAAAAGAAUCAGCUUUUUGGUUUGUUUCUUCUUCUUUAUUAUUUUAUUAGUCUUUUGCCAACGAAGUUAUUUUGUUUCAUCCCUUUCUUGUUCCUACAUAUAUGAGAAAAAAAUUUUUUGUGAAUAGUCUCUCACAACAUCACACAUGCCACACACAUAGACCCAAUCAAGGGCUGAUUUAGAAUUGGACCCAGAUCAGAAUUAGACCAAUUUAUACCAUAUCAUAAUCGAAUUGGAAUCAAUUAAAUUCGUUUUUGACUCAAACCAAAAUUGAAUUAGACUGAAAUUGAAUCAUAACUAAACCGGACAGUUCGGGACUAAAUCACCUUUUUUAUUUUAACAUUUAAAAAAAAAUAAUGAACUAUUAGAUUUGAAUAAUAGUAAACCAGAACCUUGGGGAUUUGCAGUUCUGAUUCUGGGCCAAUUCAAAUCAAAACCAAACCGAUAGUCAAGCCUAUUCAUAUAUCAUUUGUCGUAAGAAAGUAAAUUCAUGCACCAGCCCGAAUUACAAUUUUACAUCUCAUAAAAUCUUAAUUUUUUACUUCUCUUUUUUUGUUUUAUAAUAAGUUCUUAUUGAAACUUAAACUCGAAAUCUCAUAAUCUUAAUAACAACUUCAUUGAAGUAAAACUCAUUCAUUUUAAAACCGUUAUCUUAAUUUGAUGAAGUUAAAAUAAACAAUUCCAAGACUUUACCCAUUAAGGUUCCUCUAUAUGAUGCUAAUUGUCAAUAGCAAUAUCAUUACUUUAAAGUGAUACUAAUUGUCAAUGGCCAUUUCAUUGUUAUGCAAUUCCCUUCAAAUUAAUAGUAUAGAUUUUAGACCUAAGAAGCAGUAUGCAAAAGAAUCGGCCAACACUAGCUUGCCCAAGGGGCAAUGGAGUGGCCUUUUGGCUACAUGAAUGGGACAAGCAUGGCACAUGCUUUGAGUCAGUUCUUGACCAACAUGGCUACUUCAAGGCAGCUCUUGACUUGAAGAAGCAAGUAAAUCUCCUCCAGGCUCUUACGAAUGCAGUGGCGAGGUUCAUACUGUGAUAAAAGCAAAGUUGC